AGCCAGGAGGAUCUAUUACUCUGUCAAAGCUCCUCUCCCUCUGGGGGAACCUUGUCUGCUUUCAGUGUAGGGACUGCACCGGGUGACACUUUAAAAGGUUAGCAGGCAUUGUGACCUAGUGGACCAGACCUGCCCAUCUGAGGAGGGGAAACCCACCAUGUCAGUGUAAAGUAUGUUCACCCUGUUACCCGUUGACACCUGCUGAACAUUGACAUGUUAACAUGUAUAUUUGUGAAAUAAAGCUACAUUCUAUUUGGU